AGUGAACGCUGGCGGUAGGCCUAACACAUGCAAGUCGAACGGCAGCACAGUAAGAGCUUGCUCUUACGGGUGGCGAGUGGCGGACGGGUGAGGUAUACACCGGAAUCUACUUUUUCGUGGGGCUUCACGUAGGGAAACUUACGCUAAUACCGCAUUCGACCGACGGGUGAAAGCAGGGGAUCUUCGGCCCUUGCGCGAUUGAAUGAGCCGAUGCCGGAUUGGCUAGUUGGCGGGGUAAAGGCCCACCAAGGCGACGAUCCGUUGCUGGUCUGAGAGGAUGAUCAGCCACACUGGAACUGAGACACGGUCCAGACUCCUACGGGAGGCAGCAGUGGGGAAUAUUGGACAAUGGGCGCAAGCCUGAUCCAGCCAUACCGCGUGGGUGAAGAAGGCCUUCGGGUUGUAAAGCCCUUUUGUUGGGAAAGAAAAGCAGCAGGUUAAUACCCCGCUGUUCUGACGGUACCCAAAGAAUAAGCACCGGCUAACUUCGUG
rnacentral:rRNA from 1 species